rnacentral:rRNA from 1 species
UUGAACGCUGGCGGUAGGCCUAACACAUGCAAGUCGAACGGCAGCACAGUAAGAGCUUGCUCUUACGGGUGGCGAGUGGCGGACGGGUGAGGAAUACAUCGGAAUCUACUUUUUCGUGGGGGAUAACGUAGGGAAACUUACGCUAAUACCGCAUACGACCUACGGGUGAAAGCAGGGGAUCUUCGGACCUUGCGCGAUUGAAUGAGCCGAUGUCGGAUUAGCUAGUUGGCGGGGUAAAGGCCCACCAAGGCGACGAUCCGUAGCUGGUCUGAGAGGAUGAUCAGCCACACUGGAACUGAGACACGGUCCAGACUCCUACGGGAGGCAGCAGUGGGGAAUAUUGGACAAUGGGCGCAAGCCUGAUCCAGCCAUACCGCGUGGGUGAAGAAGGCCUUCGGGUUGUAAAGCCCUUUUGUUGGGAAAGAAAAGCAGCAGGUUAAUACCCCGCUGUUCUGACGGUACCCAAAGAAUAAGCACCGGCUAACUUCGUG